UCUGAAACUGCAAGUGCUUUGACACAGACUCUCCUCAAUUAGAGGCCUGUUCAGUGCCUAGCAUAACAGGUCUACAACAUAGCUGGUGCCUCUGAGCCCUACUGUAAUAAAUGAUUUGGAAUGUAAGCCUGAAGAUGGCACCAGUUGUAGGACUGCUACAGGUCCCGGACUGGAAAGCGGUGAAUGGAGAGGACAGACCGUGGAUCUUCAUCCAGCAUCAACAGAAGGGAAGCAUCAUUUGGGCAGGAGAGUGUCUGGAGGUUGGUGGGAUCAUCUGUGCUCUCCUUUGGUCACAGAAAGAUGGAGAAACGCCAUUAAGCUGAUUUGUUCAGGCAGCCACAUGCAAGAUGGAAACCCAGAAAAAACAAGGAAAUGAGAAGUUGCCAUUCUUAACAGU
rnacentral:lncRNA from 1 species